rnacentral:lncRNA from 9 species
UAUGCCAUGGGUGUGGCCCUAAAAAGACCAAAAAAAAAAAAAAAAAAAAAAAAAAAAAGAGGUAAUCUUUUAAAAGUAAAAAAAAAAAAAAAAAUUGAAGGGAAUUUCUUUGAUUUGGGGACUUUUCCUUUCUUGAGCUUUAUUUUUCAUGUGCUUAAAUUUUAAGUCACUUUUCAUUUAAAAAAUGUAUUAAGUCAUAAAAACAAAUUUUAUUUCCACUGAUAAGAUCUUUGGACUUUAAUUUUAGACCUUGUUAUUCCUUUUUCUAGGGUUGCCUAUAUUUGCAGUUAAAAAUCUGCACUUCCUCACCUGUUUUUCUUCAGCAAAGAUAACAGGAUCUUAUCAGUCAUCCAGAAAUAUUUGUAUGACACUUAAAAAUUACUCUUAUGAUUAAAAGCAGAAAUGUUUGUUCUGUCACAGGCAAAGGGCAUGACAGACUCUAGGGUUUAAUUUGCUCAUGGGGAGACAGCUCCUUAAGUCUUUUUUUUUUUUUUUCUUUCAUCACACUGAUGGCCCUUUAAUGUGGAAAAUCAUGGCUCUGAAACUGUAAAUGACACUCUGAUGCUUAAAAGAGCACAAAUUUCACAACGUUCAACUGACACUUAGGAAGCAGUUCUUUUUCUGCUCAAAGGUUCUGACCCACUCUGAAGUAUGUCUCUCCUGAAGAAUUUAAAAUGAAACUUGAAUACCGUCAACCUAGGGACAUGUUUGCUGAGAAGGAAUGGCGAGGGUCUGGUGGGGCUCUCUGUGAAGGUUUGAGGGGAAAGUGGGGAUGAAGUUUAGAAAUGGAGGGUGGGGGAGUUCUCGUCCUGGCUCAGUGGUUAACAAAUCCAACUAGGAACCAUGAGGUUUUGGGUUCGAUCCCUGGCCUCGCUCAGUGGGUUCAGGAUCCGGCGUGCCGUGAGCUGUGGUGUAGGUUGCAGAUGUGGCUUGGAUCUGGCGUGGCUGUGGCUGUGGCUGGCAGCUGUAGCUUCGAUUUGACCCCUAGCCUGGGAACCUCCAUAUGUCUUGGGUGUAGCCCCCCAAAAGGACAAAAGACGGGGAAAAAAAAAUGGAGCGUGGGCAAAAGAAAGAAUUAUGACCUAUGGAAACUUCCAGCUCAGUUGUUACUGAGGUUUUUUAACAUUAUAAAACUGAGAGUUCCUGUUGUGGCUCAGUGGGUUAAGAACCCAGCAUGCAUCCUCAUGGAUAUGAGUCAGGUACAUUACCGCUCAGCCACGACAGGAACUCUUUAUCUCAUUCUUAACCACAGUUACUUAAUAAAGGGAUGUGUGCCCCUCUUGGGUGUUGCUCGGCUUCUCCAGCCUUGGAAUCAGAUCGAAUGCUGCCACUGCAUUUUGUGUACCCAUUGCUUUUUUUUAAAUCACAGCAACUGCUCAAAAUGUAGUUUUACAAAGAUGUGCCCUCUUCCAAAGGAAUGUCAAAAGUGUGAAUAACCUGGAGCCAGUAGUUUGCAUAUAAUGUCCAACAGCUGUCUAGUAUCCAGUACUUGGCUCGAAAAUUUAAAAUGUUCUGGAGUUCUCUGGUGGCUCCGAGGAUUAAGGAUGGGCAUUGUCACUGCUGUGGCUUGGGUUACAGCUGCGACUCGGGAACUUCUGCACGCUGCGAGCGUGGCCAAGAAAAAUUAAAAUAUUCUAAGGCAGAGUUCUCAUUGUGGCUCAACAGGAUAAGAACCUGACAUAGUGUCUGUGAGGAUGCAGCUUCAAGCCCUGGCCUUGGUCGGCAGGUUAAGGCUCUGGUGUUGCUGUGAGCUACAGGGUAGGUUGCAGGUGGGGCUCAGAUCUGGCAUUGCUGUGGCUGUGGUGUAGGCCUGCAGAUGCAGCUCCGAUUCAACCCUUAACUUGGGAACUUCCAUUUGCCACAGGUUUGGCCAUUAAAAAAAAUUCUGAGGCACCGCUGUGAAUUUACUUUGGUGCCCCAGGGUGCCUCAGGGCAAAGUUUGGGAACCAUCCAGUUAGUUAUAAGAAUCUUUCUGGGGAUGAUUUGUAAUCUUUCUUUAGGCUUAAGCUGCCCAAAUAUGUGCUGUAAAUGGCAAGUUAAGGGUUAAAUAAGAGUAAGGAGCAAGAGUGUACUUUCACUGCACCCCCUAUCCCUUGUCACCUCCUAUCCCUAUUGGCAUUGUCACUGCUGUGGCUUGGGUUACAGCUACGACUAGGGAACUUCCGCACGCUGCGAGCGUGGCCAAGAAAAAUUAAAAUAUUCUAAGGCAGAGUGCUCCUUGUGGCUCCUGAUUCCAAGAUGAGGAUGCUAAACCCAGGAGCGUAUCACCUGAAACAGUCCUUAAAUCAAGAUGGCAUGAUUCCAAGCCACAGCAGUGACAAUGCCAGUAGGGAUAGGAGGCAGAGAUGCCAUUUCAGCUUACUUGGCAAAAGCUGAAAAUUCCUUCUUUACUUGCUAUACGGCUCAGGCAAGAGGCCUGGUCUCUGCCUCUUGGUCAGGACUGUCAGUAUUGUGUUAUACCCAGCUUGCCAUGGAUAAGCGAAUAGCUGUUUGCAAUUUUUUUUUUUUUUAAGAGCCGAAGGUGCGGCAUAUGGUAGCUCCCAGGCUGGGGGUCAGAUCAAUCAGAGCCACAGCUGCCGGCCUAUGCCACAGCCACAGCAGCCCGGGAUCCAAGCUGUGUCUGUAACCAACAUCGCAGUUCAUGGCAAUGCUGGAUCGUUAACCCACUGCGUGAGGCCAGGGAUCGAACCUGCAUCCUCAUGGAAAAUAGGUUCGUUUCUGCUGAACGACAAUGGGAACUUAUUAACUACAUUCUUGAUUUGAUAAGAUUCUCUUAUUUAACCUUUGUGGUUUGGUUCACAUGUUAUUCUUCCCACCAGCCAUUUCGUUUCUGUGGGUUCAUGAUCCGCUUGUCAAAUGUUUUAGCAUGGUCCACUUCAGGCUUUGGAAGAAUGUUAUAAAUCAUCUCCAAACCAGGGCUGUAAUAAGAUUUAUGUCUUUUUUGUUUUUUCAGUUGCACUAAUGGCAUGCGGAAGUUCCCAGCCAGGGAUCAAACCCGUGCCACAGCAGUGACAAUGCUAGAGCCUUAACCCUCGGAGCCACCAGGGAACUCCUAAGGAUUAUAUCUUUACAGAACAAGGUACCGUACAGAUUGGUUAGAUACUAGUAGAAAUUAGAUCUAGUGAUGUAAUCAUUCCAAUCUUAUAUUUGAGCUUCAGGUAUGAGAAGACUUUCCUUAUAGGAAGGGGGAUAUUUUGAAAAUAGGGGUAGCUUUAGAACAGUAUUGAGGGAUGACUUGUUCUGCCCAUCUGAGGACUUCAGAGUAGAGAGUCUCUGCAGAUGGCUUCCCCAGCAAAGGCGAUGCCUCACCUGGCCUCAUGGAAAUCCAGGAAUGUAUCACCUGGAACAGUCCUUAAAAGAGUGGAACAUGGAAUUCCCGUCCUGGCUCAGUGGAAAUGAAUCUGCCUAGGAUCCAUGAGAAUGCACGUUCAAUCCCUGGCCUUGCUCAGUGGGUUAAGGAUCCGGUGUUGUCACGAGCUGUGGUGUAGUUCGAAGACAUGACUUGGAUCUGGCAUUGCUGUGGCUGUAGUGUAGACCAUCGGCUCCAGGUCUGAUUUGACCCCUAGCCUGGGACCUUCAUAUGCCUUGGGUGUGGCUCUAAAAAGACCAAAAAAAAAAAAAAA